CAAAGAGUGGCGAACGGGUGAGUAACACGUGGGUAACCUACCUCUUAGCAGGGGAUAACAUUUGGAAACAAGUGCUAAUACCGUAUAAUACCAACAACCGCAUGGUUGUUGGUUGAAAGAUGGUUCUGCUAUCACUAAGAGAUGGACCCGCGGUGCAUUAGCUAGUUGGUAUGGUAACGGCUUACCAAGGCAAUGAUGCAUAGCCGAGUUGAGAGACUGAUCGGCCACAAUGGGACUGAGACACGGCCCAUACUCCUACGGGAGGCAGCAGUAGGGAAUCUUCCACAAUGGGCGCAAGCCUGAUGGAGCAACGCCGCGUGUGUGAUGAAGGGUUUCGGCUCGUAAAACACUGUUAUAAGAGAAGAACGGCACUGAGAGUAACUGUUCAGUGUGUGACGGUAUCUUACCAGAAAGGAACGGCUAAAUACGUGCCAGCAGCCGCGGUAAUACGUAUGUUCCAAGCGUUAUCCGGAUUUAUUGGGCGUAAAGCGAGCGCAGACGGUUAUUUAAGUCUGAAGUGAAAGCCCUCAGCUCAACUGAGGAAUGGCUUUGGAAACUGGAUGACUUGAGUGCAGUAGAGGAAAGUGGAACUCCAUGUGUAGCGGUGAAAUGCGUAGAUAUAUGGAAGAACACCAGUGGCGAAGGCGGCUUUCUGGACUGUAACUGACGUUGAGGCUCGAAAGUGUGGGUAGCAAACAGGAUUAGAUACCCUGGUAGUCCACACCGUAAACGAUGAGUGCUAGAUGUUCGAGGGUUUCCG
rnacentral:rRNA from 1 species